UAUCUAGCCUUAAAUAGAUCACC
rnacentral:siRNA from 1 species